rnacentral:lncRNA from 1 species
CCUUCGGCCGGGGCCCGACCCGCUGGCCCGUCUCGUGACGCGCGCAUCACGUGUCCGCGCGGGGCGGGGCCAACGAGGCGUUGCCCCGCAACGGCGGCCGGAGCAGGGCCAAACCACGGCUAGAGCCCACAGGGAACUCAGCUGCUGUGAGAGAUGCUGCCCCACCCCUGCCAGCUGGAAAAGGGGUGCUUGGGAGAACGAGGUGUUGCCCAACCCUAGAGUCAAAAUAAAAGCCAGAGGCAGGUGUGGGCCACAUACUGUAGUCCAGCUGCAUGAGAGGCCAAAGCAGGAGGAUUGCUUGAGCACAAGAGUCCAAGACCAGCCCGCGCAGCAUAGCAAGACCCAUCCUCAGAAAACUACAAAUAAAGCCAAACCAUACCAUUCAAUUCGGUGUAAUUUUGUUGUUCAACAGGGAGCACCCAUUCAGACAGGUAAAUUAAUUGUUGGUAAAUUAGUUGUUUGGAUGAAUGUGACAUUUCUGUUCUGCCUAUUUACGGUUUGAUAAAAUAAACUGAGCAUAAAAUUUUUUCUUUUUUUUUUUUUUUUUUUUUUGGUUUUUCUCCGGUACCAGGAACCGAACUCAUGACCUUGCGCUUGCCAGGCAAGCGCUUUUGCCGCUGAGCUAAAUCCCCAGCCCCUGAGCAUAAAAUUUCGAGAGAGAUGCUGGUGGUUUUAGCUGCCACUUAGGUCCUUUCCAUUUCUACCCCAUGAACACACACAGGAGAUGUGUGCUCCCUCCCUUCCCUAGGGAAAGGAACCUGGACCUUAACCUCCUGGGUGGCGUCUGCACCUUCUGUCCUUUGUGGGCACCAGAGAGGAGGUGGCAGCUUACUCCUUUAGCCUUGGAUGUUUGGAGAAGCCACUUAUCGCUAAAGAAAAAAAAAAAACUUUAAAAGUUUCAUUUUGCCUUUUAGGAGAGGAGAGCACAGCACAGAAGACUUGCCUUUGGAUCUCCUUUACUGCAAUUAUGCAAUUAAGAUUAUGAUGAUGCAAUCAAUCCGGGAGAGUUGCUGCUCCCAGCCACAGCCCUUGAGUUCCUGCAAGCAGGCUGUGUUGUCUAGAAACCAGGAAGGAGAUGGGGGAGUUUGGGAGUUUGACAGAUAGAGCACUGGUCCUAAAUAGUUAAAAUAGACUAAAAGUCAGGCCUAAGUGCUUGAGUUAGCAUAUCAAAAUGGACUAUCAGGGCCUAAUAAAAUCCAAGAGAUAAAGAAUAGGCCCUUAAUCAAAGAAGAGACCUUAAAAGAAAUAAAAUGUAAAUAAAAGACCUUGCUUUCCAGACCUCAAAGACCUACCUGCAACCAAGAGCAUCCAUGCGUUCUGUCACAUACACCAGUCCCAAAAACUGCAUAAAAACCUAAUAGACCUCAACAUCUACAGUGGCCAUCUAUCAACCACCCCUCUCCAACUAGUGGAGAGCUUCUUUUUUAUUCUUUCUAAUAAACACA